AUAUUUACGAGGAAAAGUAGCUGCCUUAUAGCCUAUCCAACAGAAUCUUCAACCAUGGCCUCCUCACUGUCGCUAUCUGUAUCAUUCGCCUCACUGCCUUCCUCAGUCUCCGCAUCAGACAUCAGAUCAUCUUUUCCAACACCACUUCCUGGGAGUUGCUUUCUGAAAUCUGGAUCAACAAUUUCGAUCAUAGCAUUAAGAACACGAUGAUGAUCGGUUAUUUUACUGAUGACAUGAUCAAUAUUACUCUGGCUCCCAGCAGCCUGUCCAUCAGAGUUCACUAAAGCAUCAGCUGCUGAGCUCCCUCUGACAUUUUCAUCCUGCUCCCCGGCAUGGUCUGUAGUCUCCCCCAAGCUCCUAGGAGACUCAUUCUCCCCAUUGACAGAUGGACCUGUUUCCACUGCCCAGCUACCAGCAACUUCUGAGGCCAACAAAUCAGCUGUACCAAUGGUUCUGGUCUGGGUAUCCUCGUGUUUUCUCUCAGAACAGUUAACCUCAAGUUUUUCUUCAGAAUAGUGACCAAUGCCAUCUUUGAGGGUUAACGAGGCUUCCUCAUUUCCUUGUGGUUGCCCUCUAUCUUUGCAAAUCAAGAUGGACUCAUCAUUCUCUUGUGGUUGCACUUCAUCAUCUAGCUGCAUGGUAUCACCUCCCAUUUCACUAAAUCUUUGAAGAGCUGAAUUGUGAUCACCACAGCCAACAUUACCAGCUUGGCUUUCUGUCUCGGGAACUUGCUCAGUAUCUGUUGGCUCUAGCUCAGGAGCUGUAGCAGCCAGAUCACCAUGAGAAUCAGACCUGAAUCUCUCUGUUGCCAUUUCUGGACUAUUGCACUCUACCUCUUGAGUGUUUGCCCCUUCAACUCUGGUAAAAUCAUCCUGUUGUUCAGUCUCCUUGGAAUCAUCACUUGAACUUUGUUCACUUGCCUGGGUAUUCUCUGUUGAAGCACCAGAAGCUUCCAUUGUAUUUUUUGAGUAGUUUACUCUCGUGCGGGCAUCGUCAGCAGUUACAGUUGCCAGUGGCACUUUAUUGAGAUCAUCACCCAUGAUACUGUUCUCAUAAUUCUCUUCAUCCUCCAGAGUUCUCUGCAUUGCUUUAAGCUGUUCCUGCUGUUUUGCAAACAGAGAAGAUAUUUCCUCUGUAGUUGAAUAGAAAGCACGCAGCUGAGUCUCCCGUAAAAUAAUUCUCUCUCUUGCUCCUUGAUACCUCUGUUUCUCGAUUGAUAGAUCUCUAAUUGUAGCAGCUAUUUCAAGCUCAAGAGCUGAGACCUUUGCCCAUGCUUC
rnacentral:sRNA from 1 species